CAGAACGCGGAGAACAGCGAGGCUGCAGAAGGAGACGACGAUGAACUUGAAGGCCAUGAAGCUUAGAGCGAAGAUGUUGAUUAAAUUGUACAUUGAAUUGUUUUCACCAACGUACAGGCUUCCUAUGUUUGCAAAGCACAGCAGCCAAACACAUCCGAUGGAGACGUUUCUGACUCUGAUCCACUUCUGGUUCUUCAGGCCCAGGUAGGUGACGGGGUGAACGACGGCCAGGUAGCGCUCCACACAGGUCAGAGUGUGAAACAGCUGCUGGCCCAAAAAGUUCACUGAUAAAAAGCAUACACCCACCGUGACCAUUCCUGUGAGACGGGUGAGGACGCCGCAACAGCAUAAAAGGUACCCUACGAUAUUCAUCAGCUCGAUGGCGACCAUGUGGAAGGUGAAGACGUCGGAGUGGCUCGCCGCCGUGCCGGAGCGCCGUUGUUUGAGUCCCAGGUAGACGACGUAGACGCAGGGAGGGAGGACCAGCAGGAGGCUGGAGACGGUGUAAGCGGUCAGGCUGGAGACGCAGGAGGUGCUGUUGCAGUUUUGCAGAAGGUCGUAUAUAUUGUCGGAGGAAGAGUCCAGAGUGGGAAAAGAGGAGGAAGAGGAGUUGACUGACAUGACUGGGGGGAAGAGGCACGAGUAGAGUGAAUGAGAGACACACACACACACACACUCAGUAAGUCAUUUACAUUAGUCACAGUAAUGAGUGACAUUUCCAACUCUUGAUGUUAUCACAGAUUGCAUCUUGUUUGACGUCUGAUCCCGUAUCCCUGGUGUCCCUGGUGUCCCUGGUCAUCCUGGUGUCCCGGGGGUGCCCCUGGUGUCUCUGGUCUCCCUGGUGUCCCUGGUGUCCCUGGUCUCCCUGGUCCGUGUCUGUGUCGCCGGUGUUACUCUACUCUAUUGGUUCUUUUGAGUGACAGCUCUCCUGAUUUUAAGCCGUCCUGGAUUUGAAAGGGAACAGAACCAUCUUUGUGUCUCUUUGUCGUCCUUUUGGGUUGCGGUUUGCAUCUGAAGGUGUGAUGAAUGUGACUAAACGGGUUCAAUUUUCUUGCACUCAUGUUGAUGAUGACACCGUUAAAAUAUAACGCUUUAUCAGCUCUUAAAUGCUUAAAUCACUCUAACUAAUGUUACCUGUGCUUGAUCAUAUCAUAUACAAUAAGGUUCUCUUUGCUAAUAGCAUAUUGAGAAAUGAUUGUGUAGAAUACGACCUUCGCAGACCUUUUGAAAGAAGAAAAACUCGGACAUUUGACUGAUAUCUAAAGGCCCCAGUUUGAAUCUGAAAAUAAAAGCAAAAUGACCAAAAACAUCUUCAUUGUCUGUGUCCACGGUAAAGCUUUUUAAGAUUUAGUACGUUUAUCCAUGAAAUGAAGCUGUAAAGACUAAAGAUUAGAUUAGAUUAGAUUCAACUUUAUUGUCAUUGCACAGGGUACAAGUACUGAGGCAACGAAAUGCAGUGCAACAACGAAAAACACAGCAACAGGAACAGCAACUAAACAGCAACUAAAAACGCUCACAUUUGACCGUGGAACAUAUUGUCUGCAACUCAUUUCUUUAACAUUCCAACGACUAAAAUAUGAACAAUCGAGUCUUCAGAACUUUCACAACAGAAAUGAAGCCACAUACUUACAAACAUAAAACUACUCCCGAGCACAUUGAACAAAGUUCAACAAACGAACACUUAUUAGAAGUAUUAUUACUUUCUCAAAAGUCACUUUAUGUACAUAAGAAUAUUGAAUUAAAAUAAACUCACUUUGACGUCGUUUUAGAUUCCAAACUGUUUGGUGUUCUGACCGUCGUCGUGUGUCUGAAUGAUGAGCUGGUGUGUUGUCAAUAAAUACUCAGUUAAACACUA
ensembl:lncRNA